rfam:Drosophila ficusphila unplaced genomic scaffold scf7180000453812, whole genome shotgun sequence
AGGAGCAGAGGCUCUGGCAGCUUCUGAAGCGUUUAUAUAACUCAAAAUAUAUAUACGCGUUCCG